rnacentral:rRNA from 1 species
UAGGGAAUAUUGGGCAAUGGAGGGAACUCUGACCCAGCCAUGCCGCGUGCAGGAUGAAGGCGUUAUGCGUUGUAAACUGCUUUUAUAUAGGAAGAAAUAGUCCUUGCGAGGAAAGUUGACGGUACUAUAUGAAUAAGCACCGGCUAACUCCGUGCCAGCAGCCGCGGUAAUACGGAGGGUGCAAGCGUUGUCCGGAUUUAUUGGGUUUAAAGGGUGCGUAGGCGGUUUAUUAAGUCAGUGGUGACAGACGGUCGCUCAACGAUUGCAGUGCCAUUGAUACUGGUAGACUUGAGUAUGAUUGAGGUAGCUGGAAUGGAUAGUGUAGCGGUGAAAUGCAUAGAUAUUAUCCAGAACACCAAUUGCGUAGGCAAGUUACUAAGUCAUAACUGACGCUGAGGCACGAAAGUGUGGGUAUCAAACAGGAUUAGAUACCCAAGUAGUCCCUGAGCGGGCUGGCAAGGCGCAU